AUGGGGUAUGUAGGAGAGCGACCUCUCGAUCGCUGCUACUUUUAUUUAGUAAGAAAACCGGUUGACUUGCAGAGAGAAAGAGCGAAAAAGACAGAGAAAAUAUCUUGGUAUAAUCGACUCGGCGCCGACUUGCAAUAGAUUGCGGAAGUGAUAUACAGUCUUGGAUAUAUAUACGUAUAACGGGUGUUAAUUCAGCACAGCAAUGUACAACCGCUGUUGAUAUGCUCACAACGAUGAACCGGACUGCAAAUCAGACACGAUGAUGAAAUGCUGCAGAGAAACCGGAAUUACGCAAUUCAAAGCGAACAAUAAAUAUAUAUAUGUAUUAAUGUACACGUGAUCUUGGACCUUUUUGUUGAAUAAAUGUAUAAUUAUCAUUCAAAUUUAUUACAAUUAAAUGAACAAAUAAAAAUUCAUGUGAAAAAUAAAACACUCUGACAGAUCGUGAGAAAAUCAUGAUAAGUAAUUUUACGAACAGUAAAUAUUCAUCUUAAAAUCAUUGGCAUUACGAUCACGUUAUCAUUGUCAUUGGUAAGUCAAUGUCCUGUUGGUUGGAAUUAUAAUAAACGACUAUAUUAGUUAUUUUUAUUUGAAAAAAAAAAA